rnacentral:rRNA from 1 species
AUUGAACGCUAGCGGGAUGCUUUACACAUGCAAGUCGAACGAGUGGCGGACGGGUGAGCAAUAUAUCGGCACGUGCCCAGUAGCGGGGGAUAACUACUCGAAAGAGUGGCCAAUACCACACAGUUUUGGAGCGGCCGGUUUCGGAUUAGCUAGUUGUAGGGGUAAAGGCUUACCAAGGCAACGAUCCGUAGCUGGUUUGAGAGGAGGACCAGCCACACUGGGACUGAGACACGGCCCAGACUCCUACGGGAGGCAGCAGUGGGGAAUGUUGGACAAUGGGGGAAACCCUGAUCCAGCCAUCCCGCGUGUAUGAGAAGGCCUUCGGAUUGUAAAGUACUUUUGGCAGAGAAGCGGUAUCUGCAGAAUAAGCACCGGCUAACUACGUGCCAGCAGCCGCGGUAAUAC